GAGCAAGGGCGUCGAUUUUAUAUCAAUGGCGAAAACUUGCAUUGAAGGUUGGCAAUAUCGACGCGAUUCUCCCUGCCUUUCAUCUAAUCUGGGUUUUGAUUGCGGCCUCGAACAAAUCGCUACAUU